rnacentral:lncRNA from 1 species
UCUUUGAAGGGGUGAAAGCAAAGAAACAUCCACCUCUCCAGAGGAGAAGGUAGAUCCGGUGAAAGCGAAGCGCACUCUGGAUGCCCUGAAAAACCACCCAAGUCUCCGCCGAAAGGCAACUAUGAGCGCAUUAUUGGAAAGGCAUUUGCCGAAGCGGAGCGGUCGGGAAGUACUGUCAGUGAUCAAAGGCUGAAAGAACGACGAGCUGGGAAACAAAUUGCCCAGCUCGACGAACAAGCGAAGCAAUCGUGCCCCCCGCUCAAGGUGCCUAGCGACAUCGUCGCUAAUGAUCCGAGGAUGGUGCCCGGUUAUAGCAAUCUUGGAGAUUACCUGCCCGACGAUGUACAUUAUGAUUUCAUGGAGGUGCAGAUACAAAGAUACGAGUACGGGAAGCCUCUCGUCAAAGAUGAAAGAUCUCUAUCAACGAUGAUGCGAAGAUUGCAUGAUUGGUACUUGAAAAUCUGCAGAGAGUCUGGGGGGAGGAGUACUUUGUAUGUGAGAGUUAAAAAGGAGCAUGACCUCAUUGGAAUUGAACUGUUGCCUGUUCCAUUUGAGGAGUUCUUUCAGUUUUUCAAUCAAUUAGCCCUUGAUAAAGCAACGGUCACCUGCUACUGUCUGUAAGUAGUACUACUUCUGUCAUUAAGUCUCUCUAUAUAGCUCAGCUCUUUCAUUGCAUGUAUUUAUAAUUAUCCUCACUAUAUUAUGCAGAUUGAAGAUCGUCGAAUUGAAGAAAAGACAAAUCGGUGAUAUUGGGUUCAUUAACACAAAUCUCAUAGAUGCAACUCAGGUUAAAUUUCAUGCCGCAGAUACCGAGGCCAACUUGCUACGAUCGUUGGUAAUAAAUGGAAACAAAAAUAUAAUACUCUUUUCUUACAAUUUCAAGUGAGUGUUACUGUCUUGUGCAUAUUCGGUUUCCCUUAUAUAUUAGUCAAGGUUAUAGUAAUGUAAUUGAUGAGUUAUGCAUGCGUGUGUAGUUUCCACUAUAUUCUCCUAGAGAUUAAGCUUGAGUAGGGACUAGUAACCGUCUUAGACUCGAGACGAAAAGAUCCCCAGGACUAUGCGGACAUGACUCAAAUGCUUGAGAAGUAAGUUAAAUCGAUCAUUAUCCACCAUAUCAGCAACUUUGUUCAUUUCCUGAUAUAUCAAGUAAUUGUUUUUUUUGUCUGGCAGGGUUUAGAGAAAAUUCACCAAAAAAGCUCCGGGACUGCCGAAGAAGCUGCAAUUUAGACACCCGAAAGUAAGUACUAUAGUAGCAUGUUCCGCGCAUCUCCUAGUGAUUCAAGCGCUAGUUUCAUCAAUACCAUUUGGCAUUCUUGCUUAUCAGUUUGAUUGACCUCUAUUUCUUGUAAAGUGGUUGUGGCAGGAACAAGGGAAUGAUUUCUGUGGAUACUACGUUUGCGAGUCCAUCCGCCACACGACCUAUGAGCGGGGCUACUCUGACGAACAAUAUGAAGUGCGUAAAUAACAACAUUCAUAAUUUUUUUUAUUACCAUCAUUUGUGUUGAGUUUCAUUCAUUCAUAUAUAUAUGUAUUGACCUCCUUUUUCAAAUUAGAUGUUUCGGAAGCGGGAUGAACUCCUAGCACCAGCUCGCAUGCGAGCAAUUCAAGAGGAAUUGGCGGCAUUCUUUCUUGACCACGUGAUCGCUGAAGACGGAGAAUACUAUGUGGACCAUGCAUCCGUAUGUUAGGAGAUUAUAUUUGUAAGAGAUAAUUAUUGUAUAUAUGUAGCCGGUAGUGUCGGAUAGAUAUACGAGAACUUGUUGUUCGACCAAUCUCUCAGAGAAGGAGAGGUGGUCGAUAUCACUUCUCUCUGUAUGCAUAUAUGUUCAUGAUGAUCUUCUGUUUCCUUCGUUUGCUUACUAGCUAGCUAGCGUGUCUAGGCCUCUCUGUACGUAUGAAUAGUAGGUACCGUCGAUCAAGCACGGACAUAAGAGAGGACACUUCUCUCUAUUAAUUAUAGCUAGCUAACACAAUAUAUGAAACACCUAAAUUAACCCCCCAAAACNNNNNNNNNNNNNNNNNNNNNNNNNNNNNNNNNNNNNNNNNNNNNNNNNNNNNNNNNNNNNNNNNNNNNNNNNNNNNNNNNNNNNNNNNNNNNNNNNNNNNNNNNNNNNNNNNNNNNNNNNNNNNNNNNNNNNNNNNNNNNNNNNNNNNNNNNNNNNNNNNNNNNNNNNNNNNNNNNNNNNNNNNNNNNNNNNNNNNNNNNNNNNNNNNNNNNNNNNNNNNNNNNNNNNNNNNNNNNNNNNNNNNNNNNNNNNNNNNNNNNNNNNNNNNNNNNNNNNNNNNNNNNNNNNNNNNNNNNNNNNNNNNNNNNNNNNNNNNNNNNNNNNNNNNNNNNNNNNNNNNNNNNNNNNNNNNNNNNNNNNNNNNNNNNNNNNNNNNNNNNNNNNNNNNNNNNNNNNNNNNNNNNNNNNNNNNAAAAACAAAAACCCCAGCCACAGAAAUGCUGACGCGUGGAUGCCUAUUGGUCCCGAUUGGUGCCACCAACCGGGACCAAAGGCCCUCCUGCCUGGGCUCCGCGUACAGGCCACGUGGAGGCCCAUCAGUCCCGGUUCUGGAUUGAACCGGGACUAAAGAGACAGGGCAUUAGUACCGACCCUUUAGUCCUGGUUCAGGAAUCGGGACAAAAGGCCCUUACGAACCGGGACAAUAGGCUCGUUUUCUACUAGUGGUAGUUUAUUUUGUGUUUAGAUGAUCAAAAGACUUUGGUUGCUGUGGCUAGAUCCUUAGAUCUCGUCUGGUCUGUAAUGAGCAAUGCUACACAGCCGAUGAUUUUGCGGACGAUGCAUGGACGACAUAGGGUAAUAAUUGUUGGAUUGAAUCCCUCCAUACCUAAGCAAUGUCAGAUCCUACCAUCGUCCACCUGUCGUGCAUAAAAAGUCGUGUGUGCAGCUAUUCCGGUCUGUAAUAAAGUAGACGUAUUUAGCUUUGUGCUUUUGCCAGUUUGCCUUAGGGGGACAGUUCGUAGUGCUUUGGUCGUUCUUUACUAUUUGUAGAUGUUGAUGGUGUCUUGAACUUCUAGUUGUGUAAUCGUUUGAACCUGAUGCUAGUUUCUUUAAUGGAAAUCGGAAGGGACGGGCCCUUCUUUUAUCAAAAAAACUAAUAAAAGAAAAGAUUCACCUGUUUCUUCCUUUUAUUUGGCAAUGAGCUGCUCGUAUGUCAUUUGACCACCAAAAUUUGGACGCUCCUACCGCAUCUGAGCAUCUUGAAUUCCUAAAGCUAUUAGAUUUUUUUGAAAAAAAAUGCUGUUUUUUCACAUUUAUUGUUCACUACGAGCAUACGAGUCUUCAUCCUAAAGGAUAUGACCUCAGGUGCGGAUUACGGAUUACUCAACUAGAGGUCAGUUUUUCCUCAUGACGAUGUAUUAAUUCUAUAUAUCAUUCUGAUGACCAACCUAAUUAAACUACUCUCUGUUAGUUCAUAGUCAUAGUUUGAGGUCUCAUUUGGUUCGUAUGAUAGAAAUAUUAUAGGAACUGAAAAUAAUGAGAUGACAUAUAUAUCUCAAUUUUUAUAGGAAAAGAGAUGUCAUUUGACGCAUACGAUAGAAAAAAUUCAUUGAGUCUAGGUUAAUGUUUUUUCCUUUAAAAUAUGAAGAAAAAUAGUUCUAUCCUAUAUAGGAACAGAAAUCCAUUCCUACAAACCAAAAGAACACAAACGAUUUCUUCCCUAACAAAAUUGCUAUCCUUUAGAACCCUAUAUACCUAAGAGAGAGUUGCCCACUAACUUAUUUAUCUCAACAUGUAAGCAAUGCCACCUCAUCAUAUAAUUAUAAGUAGGAUAAGGCCCACCUCAACAUGCAAUCAUGCAUAGAGAAAGACUCAUCACACCAUUCAACCAUGCAUGAAAAAAUAUUUUCUAUUCAAUUAUUCUACUUAUAUUCAAUAAAUAUUUUUACAAAUAUACAUAAUCAAACAUAAUAAGUUAUGUGUAUUUUAAAUUAUGAUUCCCAAGUUAGCAACCUAACUUUUCAUCAACCAAGACAAUAUGUUUUUGUAAUUGUGCUUUCCUAGAAGAAGAAAAAAGGCACGGUAUGUGCUUUCCGAAAAAAGAAAAGCACAGUUGUGUUUCCCGAAAAAAAUACAGAUUACUAGUAGUUCACAUGAUUGGAAUAUGGCUCCCGUAUGCAUGCUAUUCUGGGACUGAGGAAUGCCUUUCUAUGGUGGACCCUGAGGUCGGACUCUUGCUGCUUGAUUUUCGAUCGAACGGGAUUUGGGCACGGUUCAAAAUACAGAACGCUCUAGAGAACAUGCGAUCAUUUGGGCACGGUUAAGAGAAAUUUUACCAAAUCCUAGUCAACAUCAGCCACAGCCGCGCCCCCGCCGUGGUGAUGGACACGCGAGCAUUUCGUGUCCUGCCAACCUCAUGCCCUCCUAAAUCCACGCUAACCAUUACCAGACCCCCAGCCCGCAGCACAAAUACACGGACGAGCAUGGGCAGAGCAGAGCAGAGCCAAGCACGCGAGCUCUCACCAGCACGGCACGACCGGCGCUCCGUCCUCCCUGGCCAUGGCUCGCGCGCACGGCGCAUUCCUGCUGCAGCUGCUGGCCGCGGGCCUGCAGGUCGUCGCGCUCGCGGCGACCAUCACAGUCACACAGACGGACGACCCGCGGUGCCGGCCGAGCCUGCCGCGGCGGGGCGCCAUCGCGGUGUACCCGAGCGACAUGGAGCAGCUGCAGUUCCUGCUCAACCCCAAGUUCGUGGAGGCGGAGUGGUUCCUCCACGCCGCGCUGGGCCGCGGCAUCGACUACCUCGACCGCAACCUCUCGGCGGGCGGCCCGGCCCCCGUCGGCCCGCGCAAGGCCAGCCUCGACUUCCGCACCACCGAGAUCGCCGCGGAGCUCGGGUACCAGGAGGUGGGCCACAUCAGGGCCAUCACGCAGGCCAACGGCGGGUUCCCGCGCCCGCCCAUCGACCUCAGCGCCGACCGCUUCGCCGCCAUCAUGGACGACGCCCUGGGCGCGCGCCUCGACCCGCCCUUCGACGCCUACAACGGCACCGUCAACUUCCUCCUCGCCUCCUACAUCCUGCCCCACGUCACCGCCGCCGCCGCCGUCGGCAUCAGCCCCAACCUCAUGGGCUACGCCUCCAAGCGCCUCCACGCCAGCGUCCUGGCGGUGGAGGCCGGGCAGGACGCGGUGAUCAGGAUGCUGCUGUACCAGCGCGCCGACGAGACGGUGGCGCCCUACAAGGGGCGCACGGUGGCCGAGUUCACGCGCCGGAUCUCCGACUGGCGCAACGAGCUGUCCGGCUGCGGCGCCAAGGACGAGGGGGUCAAGGUGCUGGACCGGCAUCAGGGCGCGGAGCGACGCACCAUCAGCAACAUCCUCGGCGCCGGCGUGGACUCGCUCGGGUACCAGCGCACCCCGGCGGAGGCGCUGCGCAUCCUCUACGGCUCGCGCAACGAGCAGGUCCCCGGCGGGUUCCUGCCCCGGGGCGCCAACGGCACCAUCGCCAGAGGAUUUGUCCAGCUCGCAUAGAUGUCGCUGCAGCUCGAGGACUCAGCCGGUGCUUCCAUUCCACCUCUUUCGUGCUACCCAUGGACUGAAACAGGCACAAUAAAAACAUUGCGAUCUAUAUUUUGAAAAGAAAAUUUGUCUCGAGACCAAAUUCAGUUUACAGCUCGAGAAACAAAAUGCCAGGUGUGAGUCGGAACUUUAUACAAAACUGAAAUGGGAUUUUGCACAGAGAUUCAUAGGGAUUUUUAUUUAUUUAUUUUGGUUAAUCAAAUAGUGUGGGAAUAGAUGAGACUUCGUUAAUUCUCAUCUAGAUGAGAAUGAGCAAAUCUGAAUUAAAAUCUGUUACGAAUAGUACGUCGUUAGCACUACUCAUACUCUUUUUUUUUUUGAAACGAGACAAAAGAUUUGCCAUUUUUAUUGAUUAAGAAGAAGAGAAUUGCCCGGUUAAUUGACGGAAAACCGGGCUAAAAUCGAUACAGCACAACCCACAUGACAUGGGCACCACCGGCCAACCUGGCCACCGACAUGAAACAGAAGCCACGCCGGCACAUGCCAACAGAUGGCCACACGCGCAAGCAACCGACAGCUCCGACUUUGACGACGAGCAACACAGGGGAAAUAUGCAGGACUUGCGCCGACCGUGCCCAAAAGAGCACCUCGAACACCAAGACCACGCCGCGACCCAAGCUCCUCUCGACGCCAUCAUCGUUGCCAAACAGACACCAGCGCCCCGCCUCAGCAAACCACGCGGUGAAGAUGCCGCCAUCGACGGCAAAGAUGCCAUCAUCCUCCAGUCUCUCAGUCGUAGCCGGCUCCGAGACGAUGCCUCCAAGGAGAAGAAAGACACGAAGACUCCUCCAUCGCCCGAUCCAACGAAUCUGAGGUUUCCCUCCGGAGCCCAAGCUGUGGGGAGAAGGAGCAACUCCACGGCGACGCUUCCAAGAAAGAUCACGGCACCCGCGGGCGCCGCCGUCGCCGGCUUCGGUGAAGACCGGAGCAAGGAUUUCUCCCGGCUACUCAUACUCUGAUUUGUCAUUGUUUGUUCCUUAUAUGCUGUGGAUCAAGUUUCAAAUGAAAUGUUGGGUCAUCUUAACUCUUAAGGACAUCUGGUAUCAAUAUCGUCAAACAAAUUCUGACUUUCUUCUGCAAGUUUCUUGUUUUAGUAUUAUUAUGCUUAGAUAGCAGCAAGCGCCAUAAGAUAGCUGCAGCCUGCGAGAGCAUCGUGUUGCCAUGGUCAGAGCCGAACAACUCCAGCCUGAUUGGUGUUUCAUUUUCAGUUCAUAUAAGAUCUCAUGAAGAACCACCACGCCAUCUAAACAGGUUGGGCUUACAACAUCAUCAGAUACCGAAGCGGAAAAUUGCACGGUUCCGUCUCGUACCGGCAGAUCUCCGGCCGUCCAUUGCGUUUUAAAGAUUAGUGUAGCACUGUGUAGUACUCUUCGUUUCUAAAUAUUUAUCUUUUUAGAGCAAAAUGAGUGAACUUACACUCUAAAAUAUGUCUAUAUACAUCUGUAUGUGGUGAUCAUUUGAAAUCUGUAGAAAGACAAAUAUUUAGGGACGAAGAGAGCAUAAAAAACAAAACAUUAUGUUCUCAUGAAUACAUAGUUAUACAACAUGCAAAAAGGAUACACAGGUCCCAUCAAAGUCAGCUUUUUAUCAGAUGACACUUGCAUGCAUGUACUAUACAUUCCCUCUUUCUCUCUCUCCUCAUGUUGGAUGUUUAUCUUAAGUCUUCCUCAUGACCAUCAAAGUCUUCUGUCAGAUGUACUUGCAUGCAUUUUAUCAUCGCCCUCCUCAUGAUCAGAUUUUUCAUGCUACGAGUUCACCAUCUUUCAAAUAAUUGAAUCAAAUAGCCGAGAAAAAAAAUUGUAUCGUGAUCAACCUUGCUCUGAAUACCACUUGAUGCGAUCGUCGACAGAAAAUCGAUGGUAUAAUUAAUUUGCCCAAUCUUUCAUGGUACGGUGUCACCUGAAACAGUGUGGCGCUCGCGAUCUUGUAGAUGCAAUCACCACCAAAACAACACGCACACCCAAAAGAGGAAGUACGUGGACGAUCUUCACCAGAUCAGCAGAAAUUGAAACUCUAGAAUCAAUCUCAAACCAAAAUCACAUAGCCUCAAAAGCUAUCAACAAAUAUUCUGCGGCGGCCUGAAGAUACCCCGACUUGCUAAUCUAUCCAUCGAUGCAAAAUAGCCAAAAGAAAACUACCCCUACACGGCCGGCCGGCCAGCCCUUUAUAUAGGUGAUAAAAACUGUACCGACUUAAACAAGGAAAGACACAUACGGACUCUCUCUCCCCUAUCGUAACAAAUCAAAUCUCAACUAAUUUAAGUAUCCGGCCAUGUUGAACACAAAAGUCGAAAACGGACUAGUACUUUGACAACCACGUGCAUGCUCCCUUGUGAAUCCUUAUAGUGUUGCUUCAAAAAUAGUUGGACGCAAUAUUUCUGAUCGUGCCUUGAUUGCAUGGUGUUCGAAAGGUAGGCUUCACUUCUUUCUUCGGAAUAAUAUGAAAUUUUAUCCUGCCAAUCUGUAGUACUUGUACCUUCGAAGCUAAACAUGGCAUGGUCGUAUUUUGUUUAUGCAUAGAACUGAAAGUAACCAUUUGAUUUCUUUUGUCACGGCGCUUAGCUGAUAUGACAUACUUCUCCAUUAACGAAACAUCAGUGUCCGUAGACAAUGUCGCAUCAUAGUGAGUCCAUGGCGAUGACAAACAGCACGGAGAAACUAGGUCACCUUGUCGUAACCGUUUAGCAUGGUGGAUGCACCUUCCCGGGGCGCCAUUAAAGAUGACCUUGGUGCUGGAAGUUUGAAGGAGAAUAGCAAUCCAUCUCAUCCACCCAGGUCCAAAGCCCUUGGAUCUCAUGAUCUCAAAUAAAAACAGCCAGGAAAAGGCAUCGAAUGCUUUAGUAAUGUCCAGUUUCAGAAAGACUCUCGGUUCCUUCUUGAUAUGUAUUUUCUGAGCCACCUGCCGGACCAACAGAAAAUUAUCAUGCAGAUUUCUACCCUUUAUAAAUGCGGACUGAUUAAUGUCUACAAUGUCUGGCAUUCGUUUCCUCACCUGCGAUGCUAGCAAAUUCACAAACAACUUGGAGAAGCUGUGUGGCAAACUUAUUGGGCGAAAAUCAAACACUUCGUGUGUGUCUACCUUCUUGGGGAUCAGAACUAUGUGUGCGCGGUUGAGUUUGUGGGAUCCCCUGCCAUCCCCAACGAACAGCUGAAGUAAGGCGGCCAUGAUGUCUCCUUUAAUGAUUGGCCACGCUUUGUGAUAAACGCACCAAUGAAUUCGUCGGGCCCUGGUGCUCUGUCCGCUGAAAUUUAUCUAAUGACUCUCCAUACUUCUUCCCUGAAGAUCUGAUCUAGGUCGCCCAGGUCAUGGGAUUGAAUGCCAAGGUACUCCAGGUUUAGGGUCUCGUUCCUUGCUGGCACAACUCCCAGCAAGUUUUUGAAUGUUGUGAAAACACCUCUUCCAUCCGUGUUUGAUCAGUAAUGAUCUCCACCCCUGAUGUGAUGCUGGAUAUGAAGUUUUUUGCCCUCCUGCUGUUCGCCAUUGCUUGGAAGAGUUUAGAGUUAGCAUCACCAUCCUUGAGCCACCUCAGCCUAGAUCUUUGCCUAUCAAUGAUACACUCCAAGCUAGCCAGCCCCGGCAGCGAUAACUUGAGCGUUCUCCUCAGCCGUAGUUCAAGGAGGUUAGGCUCCUGUUUUCUUGGGCCUUACCAAAACCGAAUAUCACCUAGUUAGCCACCUUCCUGAGCAGCUUGAUGUUUCAUGUCUGCCUCUGCCCCCAUGCCUACAGGUAACUCGGCAUGUUCCUGAACUGUGUAUCUAACCUUUUAAAAGGAUCGACGAUGGAAUCAUCGCAAGCCCAAGCUGCACUAAUGGCCUCCCCAAAGCCAUCGAGUUUCGUCCAGUAUAGCUCAAAACGGAAGUGGUGUGCUUCGUACUAUAGUUGAUGCUAGUCAAGAGGUGGAGUAGCGCAUGAUCCGAGGGACUAGUUGAAAAGGCGUGAAGAACAUACUUCGGGUGGGCCAGUUCCCAUUCCAACAAAACCAAGACACAGUCGAUCUUGGUUAGCCUAGGAGUUUCUCGCUCGUUAGACCACGUGAAUGUACGUCCAUGCAUGUACAAUUCUUUGAGCUCGUGGUCGUCAACAAAGUUCUGAAAUUUGGUGAUCACACUUCUGUUGAGAUUAGCAUUAUUCUUCUCUGAGGCCCGCAAGAUCAUGUUAAAGUCUCCUAAGACGACCCAAGGCCCUGGGCAGGCCAAUCCCCUAGCAUACAGCUCAGUGAGGAAUUAUGUUUUCAGUUCAUUCCCUUGUGGUUCGUAAACUACCGAGAUCCACCAUGAGCUGCCGUUCUUGAGGUGCACCUGGCCAGUAAUGAAGUAUGUCAUAACAUGUGAUCAAAGUUAGCCUUGAAAAACGUAUUUAGCCCUAUGUAUAUAAAUAGAGAAAGUACCAAAUUUUAAUAUGAAGAAAGAUUUUUUUCAGACACCCAAGAGCUUCGUGCGUCAUUGCAUUAUUAGAACGGAAAACAACGUACAAGAGGUGUUCCGCCGAUGGCGGCCAACACAACGGCUAUGGUGAGGGAUUGGUCGGUCCUACACCCUUAGUCAAUACAACGCCAAUAAGAACACCAUCGUUGUCCAAAAAGAAAAACGAACACACCCAGGUUAUCUUAAACUCAAAUGAUAAGUGUCACAUGUUAGGUGUGUAGCACUCCGGUCCUAUUGUUUUUCGAUAGCUAUUCCAGUCACGUAAGGAUGAUGAUUUUUAGUGAUAGACGGCAAGUUUUUUGUCAGAAAAAAAACUAAAACAUGAAAGUUGUCAUGCUUGGCAACUAAAGUUGCCAUCCUCGCGCCAGUAAACUUGCCAUCGAAAACUUUGGAAGUUGUUGUGUGCUCGUACCUAACGUGUGACACUUAUCAGGUUCCAUCUUAAAAUGCCGCACAACCCUUUUCCCGUCUUCGUCCAUAGAUCGCCCUCGAUCAUGAUCGCAGUGUUUGAGCUGAUGAAUCGUCCUUGACGAGGCUUGGAAGACUAUGUCGUUGCGCUCGAGCCAUAGCAUGAAGACGACGAAGCGCAAAUGUGACAAAGUCCCACUAAGGUUGCUUCGGUAGGUGUCGGCGUGGCAGACCACCAUUCCGCCAGCUCCCCGCCCUUUGGCAUCCGCCCAAGCAGCAUCGUCCCAGGGCCGAGGUCCAAACGGCAAGGAGUACGUGCAUCCUACCAUGAGGUGACCAGAAGUCUUCUGCUUCAUGCCACAGAGGGAACACAUCAUGUGAUUUGCAAGGCCAUGGCGAUGUCUUCUAUCGACGGUCCAUAGACGGAUGUGGAUCACGAGCCAGACUCCAUUUAGAGCAUCUCUAGCAGGUCCCACAAAAACGCCUCCAACAAAACUAGUUCGUGGUUACCCCUAAAACCGAUUUAGGGUACCGUGCGGCAUCUGGAAGAAAACAUUUUCUCCUCUCAAUGGCCCAAACAGCCGCCACCACUGGGACGCACACGGAUGAACGAACUCCAACUCAAACAAUGUCGUCAACCAAAAGAACUGAAGCUUCAAAAAUAAAGUGAAUUCUGCACAUUUAGUUGAAUUGUUGAACUAAAGAGUUAGUUCAAUCAAAUGAACUAAAGUUGAAUUCCGAACAUUUAGUUGAAUAUAAUUGAUCUAAAGAGGGUCCGCUCAGGGUUCCAGUAUUCCACACAGUUGACAAGCUGGGGCCAAAGGUUCCACAACAACUCCAACCAUGAAGUCAACCCCAAAAGAAGCAAAAUCAGAGGUUGCAAACAUCUUCCAACUUUAAACAGAGAGCAUUUUAUCAGAUAACAUUUAAGAUAACCGGAUGAGGUCUCGAAAUAGCACUUAAUAAGAUAAACAUCCACAUUACAUCUAGAGGCAACCACGAGUUCGCAAAUCAACAAACAUCAGGCAAAACUUAAAAACGAUGGUUCCAGGAACAUAGUUCUAUAUCCUUGCAGAUAACUGGCUAUAGCAAAACGACUCAACGCCUCAGAAUCAGGCCUUGGCAGCAGCCUGGGCAGCGGCAUCCCGCUUCCUCUGCUCCUCAAUGAUGGUGAGCUUGAUACCCUUGCCCUUGGGGAGGCUCACCCAUGGCUUG